rfam:Schistosoma haematobium scaffold924_4, whole genome shotgun sequence.
AUCCAUCUGACGAGUCCCAAGUGGGACGAAACGCGAUCCCUGGAU